rnacentral:rRNA from 1 species
CCUACGGGAGGCUGCAGUGGGGAAUAUUGGGCAAUGGGCGCAAGCCUGACCCAGCAACGCCGCGUGAAGGAAGAAGGCUUUCGGGUUGUAAACUUCUUUUCUCAGGGACGAAGCAAGUGACGGUACCUGAGGAAUAAGCCACGGCUAAAUACGUGCCAGCAGCCGCGGUAAUACGUAGGUGGCAAGCGUUCUCCGGAUUUAAUGGGUGUAAAGGGCGUGUAGGCGGGGACGCAAGUCAGAUGUGAAAACCACGGGCUCAAACUGUGGCCUGCAUUUGAAACUGUGUUUCUUGAGUACUGGAGAGGCAGACGGAAUUCCUAGUGUAGCGGUGAAAUGCGUAGAUAUGAGGCGGAACACCAGUGGCGAAGGCAGGCUGCUGGACAGCAACUGACGCUGAGGCGCGAGAGCGUGGGUAGCAAACAGGAUUAGAUACCCGGGUAGUC